AUGGAUCCAUCCUCAAAAACCUUCACUAUAAAAUCAACUCUUCAGAUCACAGAAAGGGAAGAAAAUUUUAGAAGAAGAAAAAAGGGAUGUUGUCAAGAUUAUUUGAAGAACUUCCCCCCGUCAAGCUUCAACAUAAUUUUCAGAAUCUGCAAUUUCCAGAGCAUCAAGAAUCACAACAACUUCAGCACUAUUUUCCAGCUCCAACUUAAAUCACCCUACAAUUCACCGAAAUUCCAACAACCAUGCAUUUUUCCAGUAUUUCUCAGAAGAUUUAGAGAGAGUUAA